rnacentral:rRNA from 1 species
UACGUAGGGACCUAGCGUUGUCCGGAAUCAUUGGGCGUAAAGCGCGCGUAGGCGGCCCGGUAAGUCCGUUGUAAAAGUCGAAGGCUCAACCUUUGAAAGCCGAUGGAUACUGCAGGGCUAGAGUCCGGAAGAGGCGAGUGGAAUUCCUGGUGUAGCGGUGAAAUGCGCAGAUAUCAGGAGGAACACCAAUGGCGAAGGCAGCACUCUGGGACGUGACUGACGCUGAGACGCGAAAGCGUGGGGAGCAAACAGG